AUGCUCAAAAUUCUCCAAGCCAGGCUUCAGCAAUACGUGAACCGUGAACUUCCAGAUGUUCAAGCUGGUUUUAGAAAAGACAGAGGAACCAGAGAUCAAAUUGCCAACAUCUGCCGGAUCAUGGAAAAAGCAAGAGAGUUCCAGAAAAACAUCUAUUUCUGCUUUAUUGACUAUGCCAAAGCCUUUGACUGUGUGGAUCACAAUAAACUGUGGAAAAUUCUGAAAGAGAUGGGAAUACCAGACCACCUGACCUGCCUCUUGAGAAACCUAUAUGCAGGUCAGGAAGCAACAGUUAGAACUGGACAUGGAACAACAAACUGGUUCCGUACAGGAAAAGGAGUACAUCAAGGCUGUAUAUUGUCACCCUGCUUAUUUAACUUCUAUGCAGAGUACAUCAUGAGAAACGCUGGGCUGGAAGAAGCACAAGCUGGCAUUAAGAUUGCUGGGAGAAAUAUCAGUAACCUCAGAUAUGCAGAUGACACCACCCUUAUGGCAGAAAGUGAAGAGGAACUAAAAAGCCUCUUGAUGAGAGUGAAAGAGGAGAGUGAAAAUGUUGGCUUAAAGCUCAGCAUUCAGAAAACGAAGAUCAUGGCAUCUGGUCCCAUCACUUCAUGGGAAAUAGAUGGGGAAACAGUGGAAACAGUGUCAGACUUUAUUUUUCUGGGCUCCAAAAUCACUGCAGAUGGUGACUGCAGCCAUGAAAUUAAAAGAUGCUUACUUCUUGGAAAGAAAGUUAUGACCAAACUAGAUAGCAUAUUCAAAAGCAGAGAUAUUACUUUGCCAACAAAGGUCUGUCUAGUCAAGGCUAUGGUUUUUCCAGUGGUCAUGUACGGAUGUGAGAGUUGGACUGUGAAGAAAGCUGAGCGCCAAAGAAUUGAUGCUUUUGAACUGUGGUGUUGGAGAAGGCUCUUGAAAGUCCCUUGGACUGCAAGGAGAUCCAACCAGUUCAUCCUAAAGGAGAUCAGUCCUGGGAUUUCUUUGGAAGGACUGAUGCUAAAGCUGAAACUCUAA
rnacentral:lncRNA from 1 species